GGGUUGUGAGGUUAAGCGACUAAGCGUACACGGUGGAUGCCCUGGCAGUCAGAGGCGAUGAAGGACGUGCUAAUCUGCGAUAAGCGUCGGUAAGGUGAUAUGAACCGUUAUAACCGGCGAUUUCCGAAUGGGGAAACCCAGUGUGUUUCGACACACUAUCAUUAACUGAAUCCAUAGGUUAAUGAGGCGAACCGGGGGAACUGAAACAUCUAAGUACCCCGAGGAAAAGAAAUCAACCGAGAUUCCCCCAGUAGCGGCGAGCGAACGGGGAGCAGCCCAGAGCCUGAAUCAGUGUGUGUGUUAGUGGAAGUGUCUGGAAAGGCGCGCGAUACAGGGUGACAGCCCCGUACACAAAAAUGCACAUGCUGUGAGCUCGAUGAGUAGGGCGGGACACGUGGUAUCCUGUCUGAAUAUGGGGGGACCAUCCUCCAAGGCUAAAUACUCCUGACUGACCGAUAGUGAACCAGUACCGUGAGGGAAAGGCGAAAAGAACCCCGGCGAGGGGAGUGAAAAAGAACCUGAAACCGUGUACGUACAAGCAGUGGGAGCCCUGAUUUAUCAGGGUGACUGCGUACCUUUUGUAUAAUGGGUCAGCGACUUAUAUUCUGUAGCAAGGUUAACCGAAUAGGGGAGCCGGAGGGAAACCGAGUCUUAACUGGGCGUUAAGUUGCAGGGUAUAGACCCGAAACCCGGUGAUCUAGCCAUGGGCAGGUUGAAGGUUGGGUAACACUAACUGGAGGACCGAACCGACUAAUGUUGAAAAAUUAGCGGAUGACUUGUGGCUGGGGGUGAAAGGCCAAUCAAACCGGGAGAUAGCUGGUUCUCCCCGAAAGCUAUUUAGGUAGCGCCUCGUGAAUUCAUCUCCGGGGGUAGAGCACUGUUUCGGCAAGGGGGUCAUCCCGACUUACCAACCCGAUGCAAACUGCGAAUACCGGAGAAUGUUAUCACGGGAGACACACGGCGGGUGCUAACGUCCGUCGUGAAGAGGGAAACAACCCAGACCGCCAGCUAAGGUCCCAAAGUCAUGGUUAAGUGGGAAACGAUGUGGGAAGGCCCAGACAGCCAGGAUGUUGGCUUAGAAGCAGCCAUCAUUUAAAGAAAGCGUAAUAGCUCACUGGUCGAGUCGGCCUGCGCGGAAGAUGUAACGGGGCUAAACCAUGCACCGAAGCUGCGGCAGCGACACUGUGUGUUGUUGGGUAGGGGAGCGUUCUGUAAGCCUGUGAAGGUGUGCUGUGAGGCAUGCUGGAGGUAUCAGAAGUGCGAAUGCUGACAUAAGUAACGAUAAAGCGGGUGAAAAGCCCGCUCGCCGGAAGACCAAGGGUUCCUGUCCAACGUUAAUCGGGGCAGGGUGAGUCGACCCCUAAGGCGAGGCCGAAAGGCGUAGUCGAUGGGAAACAGGUUAAUAUUCCUGUACUUGGUGUUACUGCGAAGGGGGGACGGAGAAGGCUAUGUUGGCCGGGCGACGGUUGUCCCGGUUUAAGCGUGUAGGCUGGUUUUCCAGGCAAAUCCGGAGAAUCAAGGCUGAGGCGUGAUGACGAGGCACUACGGUGCUGAAGCAACAAAUGCCCUGCUUCCAGGAAAAGCCUCUAAGCAUCAGGUAACAUCAAAUCGUACCCCAAACCGACACAGGUGGUCAGGUAGAGAAUACCAAGGCGCUUGAGAGAACUCGGGUGAAGGAACUAGGCAAAAUGGUGCCGUAACUUCGGGAGAAGGCACGCUGAUAUGUAGGUGAAGCGACUUGCUCGUGGAGCUGAAAUCAGUCGAAGAUACCAGCUGGCUGCAACUGUUUAUUAAAAACACAGCACUGUGCAAACACGAAAGUGGACGUAUACGGUGUGACGCCUGCCCGGUGCCGGAAGGUUAAUUGAUGGGGUCAGCGCAAGCGAAGCUCUUGAUCGAAGCCCCGGUAAACGGCGGCCGUAACUAUAACGGUCCUAAGGUAGCGAAAUUCCUUGUCGGGUAAGUUCCGACCUGCACGAAUGGCGUAAUGAUGGCCAGGCUGUCUCCACCCGAGACUCAGUGAAAUUGAACUCGCUGUGAAGAUGCAGUGUACCCGCGGCAAGACGGAAAGACCCCGUGAACCUUUACUAUAGCUUGACACUGAACAUUGAGCCUUGAUGUGUAGGAUAGGUGGGAGGCUUUGAAGUGUGGACGCCAGUCUGCAUGGAGCCGACCUUGAAAUACCACCCUUUAAUGUUUGAUGUUCUAACGUGGACCCGUGAUCCGGGUUGCGGACAGUGUCUGGUGGGUAGUUUGACUGGGGCGGUCUCCUCCUAAAGAGUAACGGAGGAGCACGAAGGUUGGCUAAUCCUGGUCGGACAUCAGGAGGUUAGUGCAAUGGCAUAAGCCAGCUUGACUGCGAGCGUGACGGCGCGAGCAGGUGCGAAAGCAGGUCAUAGUGAUCCGGUGGUUCUGAAUGGAAGGGCCAUCGCUCAACGGAUAAAAGGUACUCCGGGGAUAACAGGCUGAUACCGCCCAAGAGUUCAUAUCGACGGCGGUGUUUGGCACCUCGAUGUCGGCUCAUCACAUCCUGGGGCUGAAGUAGGUCCCAAGGGUAUGGCUGUUCGCCAUUUAAAGUGGUACGCGAGCUGGGUUUAGAACGUCGUGAGACAGUUCGGUCCCUAUCUGCCGUGGGCGCUGGAGAACUGAGGGGGGCUGCUCCUAGUACGAGAGGACCGGAGUGGACGCAUCACUGGUGUUCGGGUUGUCAUGCCAAUGGCACUGCCCGGUAGCUAAAUGCGGAAGAGAUAAGUGCUGAAAGCAUCUAAGCACGAAACUUGCCCCGAGAUGAGUUCUCCCUGAGACCUAGAGUCUCCUGAAGGAACGUUGAAGACGACGACGUUGAUAGGCCGGGUGUGUAAGCGCAGCGAUGCGUUGAGCUAACCGGUACUAAUGAACCGUGAGGCUUAACCUUACAACGCCGAAG
rnacentral:rRNA from 1 species